rnacentral:lncRNA from 1 species
AUGUUAUUCGUACAGGACGAGAGGAGUCUCCAUACGAGGAAAAUACCGAGCGACGUCAGGAUUGAGCAUAUAUUUUUUCAGUGUUGCUGCUCGGCGUUCUGAAGUGAGCCAUAGUGACCGCAUCCGCUUCCGUCAUCAUAUUUUGUAGGUUAUUUAUUUAGCCUACUGUACUCUAUGUUAAACUUAUAUUCCUAGAAUGCUCUGAUUACUAAGGGAUAUGUGACCCAAACUUGUAUGAAUUAUAUUUGAGGUCUAUGACCUAACUUUGG